UACGUAUUGUGCGAGCGUUAAUCGGAAUUACUGGGCGUAAAGCGUGCGCAGGCGGUUCUGAAAGUCAGCUGUGAAAGCCCCGGGCUUAACCUGGGAAUGGCGGUUGAAACUACAGGACUAGAAUCUGGCAGAGGGGGGUGGAAUUCCACGUGUAGCAGUGAAAUGCGUAGAGAUGUGGAGGAACACCGAUGGCGAAGGCAGCCCCCUGGGCUGAGAUUGACGCUCAGGCACGAAAGCGUGGGGAGCAAACAGG
rnacentral:rRNA from 1 species